rnacentral:rRNA from 1 species
GGCGGCAUCCUGGACCGGCAUUGACGCUGAUGAGCGAAAGCUAGGGGAGCAAACGGGAUUAGAUACCCCGGUAGUCCUAGCCCUAAACGAUGAAUGCUUGGUGUGACGGUAUCGAUCCCUGUCGUGCCGAAGCUAACGCAUUAAGCAUUCCGCCUGGGGAGUACGGUCGCAAGGCUGAAACUCAAAGGAGUUGACGGGGGCCCGCACAAGCGGUGGAGCAUGUGGUUCAAUUCGACGCAACGCGAAGAACCUUACCCAGGCUCGAACGGUGAUGGACAUCCGGCGAAAGCCGGCUCCCGCAAGGGCCGUCAUCGAGGUGCUGCAUGGCUGUCGUCAGCUCGUGUCGUGAGAUGUUGGGUUAAGUCCCGCAACGAGCGCAACCCUUGUCCUCUGUUGCCAUCAGGUUAAGCUGGGCACUCUGAGGAGACUGCCGGUGAUAAACCGGAGGAAGGUGGGGAUGACGUCAAGUCAGCAUGGCCUUUAUGUCUGGGGCUACACACGUGCUACAAUGGCCGACACAAACCGUCGCGAUGCCGCAAGGUGGAGCUAAUCGGACAAAGUCGGUCUCAGUUCGGAUUGCAGGCUGCAACUCGCCUGCAUGAAGUUGGAAUCGCUAGUAAUCGCGGAUCAGCACGCCGCGGUGAAUACGUUCCCGGGCCUUGUACACACCGCCCGUCACAUCACGAAAGCUGGCUGUACUAGAAGUCGCCGCGCUAACCCGCAAGGGAGGUAAGCGCCUAAGGUAUGGUUAGUGAUUGGGGUGAAGUCGUAACAAGGUAACCA